rnacentral:lncRNA from 1 species
UUAAGAACAUCACACUGUAAUUCUUUGAGAUCUACUGUGGAGAUUUUCCUACUGAAUGCUGAGGAAAAAUAGAGGUGAACGCUGGAAAGAGCCAUCCUAACCAAUUUUGAACCCACUGUCAAAAUAGUAGUCCUGAUACUAGAGUGUCCACUGCGAGUGAUAGAAUCCCAGCUGGGACUAAGACUCGGGCUCAAUAACAAUCUAGUAGCUUGCAAACCUCACAGAGCAUCAGGGAAAUUCACCUGGGGAUGGAUGAAUGGAUGGAUGGGUGGAUAGAUAGAUAGAUAGAGAUAGAUAAUCCCCAUUCAGAAAAGAAAGAAUAGCCCCUACCUGGUCUGCCACAGGCCACUAUACACCCAAAUGGCAAGUUCAUUAGCACAAUCAUUAAUAAUAAUUAGGGAAAAAUAGAUACAAACAGAAAGGAUCAAGUCAUCUGCUAUGGUUUGAAAAGGCUUGGUCCCCACCAGGUGCUAUUUUGGAAGGUUCUAGGCCCUUGAGAAGAAAGCAGAUUACUGGGAGCAGGUCCCUCCAAAGCUGCCUCUCUGCUGUUUGUCGGCCCUGGGAUGAAGAAGCUCAUCUGCCCCAACUGCCCUCCCUGGUGUUCUUUCCGUUCCAGUGCAUGGGGUCAUGCAGGCAGCCCCUCGUGGACACUUCUUCAGGAGGCCUUUGAGACAGAUGAACUGCUGGGAGGAAGACCUGGUUCUGAUAAACCAGCCUACCGCCAUCUUUGACUUGAAAGUUACCUCACGUUAAAGACAAAGCAGGUCUACUCCUCUUUGGGAUUGAAACUCUGUUUCUCAAGGAUUGUGCUGUGCCCCACCUGUUACCUUAAGUACAAAUGGUCCUGUACUGCCUGCCCCAGGAAACAGCAACCAUGUCUCCAUUUCAAAAGUUGUUAUAACC